rnacentral:lncRNA from 1 species
CAGCACACAGACAAGAAACAGAAACAUUAACGCCUGGGGAGGGAACCAAAGGGAGUGACAUAUAUAGGGAAGGUAUUCAGGGAGUUGAUGGAGUCCAGGUGAGUCUAACGAUGGUGACAGGUGUGCGCCAUAAUGAGCAGCCUGGUGACCUAGAGGCCGGAGAGGGAGCACACGUGACAGUAACCCCUCCCCGACGCGCAGCUCCGGCCGCAGGACACCAACAAAAAUGACAAUCCCAGGGAUCAGGAGCGGACUGGUCACUCCUGCUAAUGCGCGGGAACCUGUCGCCGGCUGGGGCGCAGGAACCGCAGCGCAGGAACCAAAAGCGGAAGUUUUUGGAUGGUUAUUGCUAUCCGGGAUCCUUGGGACAGUCCUACCCUAAAGCCUAACCUUAACCCUUACCUAACCCAAACCUUAACCAUUGAAAAUGUCUACUUCAAUGGGGUAAUAUCAGCGGUAUGUUGUCAUUCAGCCACGACUCGGUGAAACAUAAGAUAUUACAGGUUUUAAUGUCCCGUUGGAGGGUGGACGGUCGUGCUCGGUUUUUGUAGUCAGCAGUCUCUUUCAUGCGUUGCUUUGCACAUUGAUCAGUGUCACGUUGCUUGGUGUUUGGUGCAAAGUGAGGCAUUGUGGGAAGUGUAGUGCAGAGUUUUCUUCCAAACAUCAGCUCUGCUGGGGUUUGUUGAGUAGUUCGGUGAGGGGUUGCGUGGUCAUUUCUCAGAAAACUGUAGAGAUUUUGUUUCCAAGGUUAUCCUACAGAAUUUGUGGCGGUGACAGUUUUCUUGAGUGUUCGCAUGAAGCGUUCUGCUUCGGCAUUAGCUCUCGGCCAGUAAGGUGUUAUUGAAGGAAGGUCCAUUGUCCGUUUUUACAAUCGCAGGUACUCCAAAGGAGGAGAAAACUUUGUCAAGUUUGGGAAUGACAGAAGUGGCAGAUGUGGACUUUACGAUUUCAAUUUCCAGACACCUUGAGUAUUCGUCGACAACUACAAGUAGGUAGUCACCCGAUAGGAAAGGACUGCAGAAACUUACUGAUACUUCUAGCCAUGGACCUUUGGGUAGUUUCGACAUAGACAGUAGUUCCAUAUGAUUUUCUACAGUGGCAGCUUGACAUGGAAUGCAGUGUGAAAUUGCUUUUUCCACCAUGUCAUCUAUACCUGGAAACCAAACCUUCUCUCUCAGUAGCUGUUUUGUUUUCACAAUGCCAAGAUGUCCUGUGUGAGCUAGGUUGAUUGUUUUUUUCUUGGAGAGAGAUUGGAAGAACGAGCAGUGUUCCUCUCAGAAUGACCUUUGCUUGUGUAUUGAUUGUUAGUUCAUGUUUCAUGCAAGAGUGCUUUUAAUGUUUGGAAAUCAGCAUCUUGUGUGUCAUGUGGUGAAUCUUUCCAGGUUCCUGUGGACAAUAGGCGCAUCACCUCUGUAGAGCUGAGCCUUUUCUUUGUUUCUUCUCGCACCUCUUCUAAAGUCAUCACUUUGGGAACUGUGUUGUCAAUGAUAACUUUCACAUAUUUCUGCCAUGUGAGAGGUUCUUUGUGGGGUUUCCUUUGCGAUGGGAUGCCUUGACAUGGUCUGUGAUGACCGUGAAGUGAGCUCCGUAGAGAAACAAGUGAAAGUUUUCGCAUGAACAGAUGAUCGCCAAAGCUUCUCUUUCGGUUUGUGAGUAGCGCUGGUCAACCUCUGAGAGCGCUCGGCUGGCAUAUGCAAUGAUAUGGGCGUCUUUGUCACUUGUAGGGUUGUGCUGACUUAGUAUGGCACCUAAACCAAUUGGGCUGUCGUCAACUAACAGUGUCGACCUCUUGGCUGGGUCAAAGUAGGCUGUCGUCGUGUGCUUCAUCAGACGUGUUCUUAAUUUUUUUCAUCGCAGACUGAUGCUGUGGUCCCCCCCAGGUGUGAUCUUUUCUUGGGAGCUCGCGAAGAGGCUGUGCGGUUGUUGCAAAGUCUGGUAUGAACCGUGAGCACUAUUGUGUCAUGCCCAGGGGACUGCGAACCUCCGAGGCGCUGGCAGAUUCUGUAUGGCUUAGAUUUUCUUUGGAUCUGAGGGAAAUGCCUUGCUCUGAGAAAACAUAGCCAUAAAAACUCAAGUGUUGUUUUGCUGUAUUUACAUUUUCCUUUGUUCAGCGUGAGAUUUUUCUCUCUCAAUCUCUGAAACACAGCUUUAAGACUUGCGUUGUGUUCAUCUUGAGAUCUAGGAUGUCAUCACUCAUGUUUCUCACGUUGGGAAUGCUUUGUAGCACUUGCUGUAUUGCAUUUUGAAACACAUCGGCAGCUGAAUUUAUGCCAAAGUUCAGUCUGGUGUAUCUCUAGAGGCCAGUAUGUGUAGUGAAGGUUUGUGAUGUUCCUUGAGACUGGAUGUAACUUGGAUUUUUAGUGUGUCAAGCUGCUGUUGAACCUUUUCUCCCAUGUGAAAAGGAAUCCUCCUGUGUGGUUGUACUGCUGGUUGCACUGUGUCAUCAAUGUGCAGCUUCACUUGAAAGUCUGAGUUUUCCUAUAUCUUAGAAGAGGUCCUGGUAUUCAUUGGUAAGCUGGCUUAUGAAUGAACCAUCAGCUGGUUCACUUGGAGUGGAUAGAGAGUUGAUUAUUUUUAGAAGUCCAAGGUCUGUAGUAGUGAGCCAGAGUCACCUUUGGAUUACAUAGAAAGUGGUAUCUACCAUCUUAGUCUUAGAGCGGACUGGUGCUGUGAAUUGUCCUCUCAGUGGAAGUGGUUCGGAUGGGCCAUAAGCAAAGAUGUUUGCCUUGGCCUGUUUUAAUUCACAGCUGGGCAUUAACUUGUCAUAUGUGACAUCAUCAACAAUGUCAACACUUGCUCCCGAAUCAAUAAUAACAUCCACAGUUGUAUUCAUAAUGGUAACUUGGAUGUGUGGUUGCGACGGUUUCUUUCUUAUACACAUAAGCAUUAUCAUGAGCUUGGCGAGAUGUCUUGUGUUUUUGUCUUAUUGUCAUCAUGUGACUGCACUUUAUGCACUUUGUGUUUCGGACGCCGUUGGGUUAGUUUUUCAGCAACUGGAGGAGUGGACUCUGUGGUUUGUGACCUACAGCAUUUUAGAAAGUGAUUCAACUUCCACAUCCUUUACAUUUUGUUUCACCUUGCAGGGCAGUUUGUUUGUCCUCUGUCGUGUGGGAAUUUUCCUCUGCGGUUAUUGCAUGUUCUGUUUUGACGUUUGUCACUUUCAUUUAUGUAGCCCUGGCUUUUGUUAUAUUUUUUUAUUUUGUACAGCGCACACUGAAAGUAAUUUUUGUGAUUUUGAUUGAACAUUCUCCAUGCCUGCAGCUUGUUUAUCCGACAUCUUGUGCACUGCCUGUAUCAAGUAGUUGUUGGAGAGCCAUUGAACCACCCUUUAGCGCCACCCAGCGGAGGAACGCGGAACUGCAGCUUAUUAUUAUCUGUGGCUUUAUUUCUUUAUCAACGUUUGCAAACUCGCAUGUGGAUGCUAGAUCUCAAUCUUGUGUGGUGCUAUGCUUAAGUUUGUCAGUAGAGGAGAUGCUGGAUCAUCGGCCAGUACAAGAACAGACUCAGUUAAUCCACAUCCAGCCUCAGCCAGUACUAACACAGACCCAAUACAGCCGUCUUCAGCAAAUGCUAACACAGACCCAGUACAGCUGGCUUCAGCAAAUACUAACACAGACCCAGUACAGCCAGCUUCAGCAAAUACUAACACAGACCCAGUACAGCCGGCUUCAGCAAAUACUAACACAGACCCAGUACCGCCAGCUUCAGCAAAUACUAACACAGACCCAGUACUGGCAGAUUCAGCAAGUACUAACACAGACCCAAUACAGCCAUCUUCAGCAAGUACUAACACAGACCCAGGUGAAAUACAGGCAGCCUCAGCCAGUACUAGCACAACCAGAGGUGUUCAGCCAGCAUCAGCUACAAGUAGAUCAGACCCUAAUUUAACAGUUGCUGCUCCACCAAAUGACCCAGCAGAUUGGCCCCCAGUUUUAACAGACUUUAUGAGGACUGAGUUAGUGCGCAGAGGUCCAUUCAAACCAGGACUGGAUUUUUCUUACCCGAAAGACAAGUCUAGAAGAGGUUUCCUUCAGGCUUAUUGCAGAGUGUUGGGUUAUAUUUUAUUAAACUAGAUGUGUUGCAUAGCAUAUGAAUACAUCAAUGUUAAACAUAAUAGGUUUGUAUUGUAUUAACAUAGAAUAGACGUGACUAACUGGAGGGUUGCUGGACAGCUAGGGUGUAGGCUGAGUAGACUCGUGACACACACACACACACACACACACACACACACACACACACACACUGCCUGGUUGUGGAACCACUCAAGGACAUGUGUACGUGGGGGACUGGUAGAAUGGAAGAUAGCUGUAGCACAAAAACAGACACUGUCCUUGGGUGUCUGACUCUCGGGUACACACACGAAGAUAAGCUAGAAGACAACUAUGCUUGGCAACAGUGAUGCGCCAGGAGGCUGGGACCAGCCUGUGCGCCUACGAUAGGCUGAGUAAGUCUAAACCACACUCAGCCUCUACUCUGACAGGCCGGCUCUGAAGCAGGAACUAUCUUUGUCAGAGUAUUAAAGAAGAACUUUGGGUGUGACAGUUAGUUCUCUGUCUGCCCUGCGUGGUGUCACAGUGAGCCCGUAUAUACGAACAUCAUAUUUACCAUUUAUAUAUCAUUGAAUUAAUUAAAGUACAAAGAAAUCCGAAGUUACUCUGUGCUGACUAUUUUGUUCUAAUACCAGAUUCGAAUUGACGUAACCUAACAAGAGACAGCUGUCAAAUGGGGAAAAGAUUACCAGGAGCUGGCUUUCAUACUCAAUCAAAAACAACGCUGUGUAUUGUUUUUGCUGUAAGCUCUUUUCUA